rnacentral:rRNA from 1 species
AAUUCGGACGGGUGAGUAAUGUCUGGGAAACUGCCUGAUGGAGGGGGAUAACUACUGGAAACGGUGGCUAAUACCGCAUAACGUCGCAAGACCAAAGAGGGGGACCUUCGGGCCUCUUGCCAUCAGAUGUGCCCAGAUGGGAUUAGCUUGUUGGUGAGGUAACGGCUCACCAAGGCGACGAUCCCUAGCUGGUCUGAGAAGACCGUUUUCACU